GACGAACGCUGGCGGCGUGCCUAAUACAUGCAAGUAGAACGCUGAAGGAGGAGCUUGCUCUUCUGGAUGAGUUGCGAACGGGUGAGUAACGCGUAGGUAGCCUGCCUGGCAGCGGGGGAUAACUAUUGGAAACGAUAGCUAAUACCGCAUAAGAGUAGAUGUUGCAUGACAUUUGCUUAAAAGGUGCAAUUGCAUCACUACCAGAUGGACCUGCGUUGUAUUAGCUAGUUGGUGGGGUAACGGCUCACCAAGGCGACGAUACAUAGCCGACCUGGGAGGUGAUCGGCCACACUGGGACUGAGACACGGCCCAGACUCCUACGGGAGGCAGCAGUAGGGAAUCUUCGGCAAUGGACGGAAGUCUGACCGAGCAACGCCGCGUGAGUGAAGAAGGUUUUCGGAUCGUAAAGCUCUGUUGUAAGAGAAGAACGAGUGUGAGAGUGGAAAGUUCACACUGUGACGGUAUCUUACCAGAAAGGGACGGCUAACUACGUG
rnacentral:rRNA from 1 species